GGGCUAGCGUUGUUCGGAAUUACUGGGCGUAAAGGGCGCGUAGUCGGCUUCGCUCGUCGGGUGUGAAAUGCCUGGGCUCAACCCAGGAACUGCACUCGAAACUCCGAGGCUAGAGUGUGGGAGAGGAUAGUGGAAUUCCCAGUGUAGAGGUGAAAUUCGUAGAUAUUGGGAAGAACACCGGUGGCGAAGGCGGCUAUCUGGACCACAACUGACGCUGAGGCGCGAAAGCUAGGGGAGCGAACAGG
rnacentral:rRNA from 1 species